UGGAGGAAACUCCUACCCCGAGCCCACCCUCCACCCGGCCCUGACGCCAGGAGUGGAUUUGUGUGCAGCCUAAAAAGGGCCCUGGAAUUCUUUCUCCUUUUUCAUUUUCCAGGCUGCACCGUCCUCCCGCCGCCUGCUGGAGCCGGAGCCGGGCGCUAGGUCCCCAGCCCUACCCUGCGGCGCCCUGAAUGAAGAGGGAGCCCACACUGCAGCAGCAAGGGGCAGAUUGGGGACCAGAACACAUUUGCAGUUAAACACGGCUUCAGAAGAUUGGAUAAGCUUGUCAAAACUGCAGGAUGGAAACCUGGACCCUAAAAACCUAGCUGCUGACUUCUCAAAGCUUAGCUUCUUGCCUUCCAAAGUGUAGGUUCCAAAGAGGAAAGCCCUGUGGACACACAGUGAGAAGGCAGCCACCUGCAAGCGGGGAGACCUCAGUAGCCCGUAACCAUGCUCUACCCUGAUCUUGGAAUUUUAAUCUCUACAACUGAGACAAUAAAUUUCUGUUGUUGAAGC